ACGCACGCUGGCGGCGUGCUUCACACAUGCCAGUCGAACGGAAAGGCCCUGCUUUUGUGGGGUGCUCGAGUGGCGAACGGGUGAGUAACACGUGAGUAACCUGCCCUUGAGUUUGGGAUAACUUCAGGAAACUGGGGCUAAUACCGGAUAGGAGCUCCUGCUGCAUGGUGGGGGUUGGAAAGUUUCGGCGGUUGGGGAUGGACUCGCGGCUUAUCAGCUUGUUGGUGGGGUAGUGGCUUACCAAGGCUUUGACGGGUAGCCGGCCUGAGAGGGUGACCGGCCACAUUGGGACUGAGAUACGGCCCAGACUCCUACGGGAGGCAGCAGUGGGGAAUAUUGCACAAUGGGCGGAAGCCUGAUGCAGCAACGCCGCGUGCGGGAUGACGGCCUUCGGGUUGUAAACCGCUUUCGCCUGUGACGAAGCGUGAGUGACGGUAAUGGGUAAAGAAGCACCGGCUAACUACGUG
rnacentral:rRNA from 1 species